rnacentral:misc_RNA from 2 species
AACGCAUCUUGCGCCCCUUGGCAUUCCGAGGGGCACACCCGUUUGAGUGUCGUGAAAUCCUCAAAACCCUUUUCUUUGAUGGAAAAGGAUUUUGGACUUGGAGGUUUGAUGCUUGCUUUCACUUUUGAAAGUGAGCUCCUCUUAAAUAAAUUAGUGGGAUCCGCUUUGCUGAUCCUUAAUGUGAUAAGAUGUUUCUACAUUUUGGAUUUAGCACUGUCCCUUGGAUGCCUGCUUCUAACUAGUCUUAUGGACAAAUGAUGGUGCUCUGGUCACUGCCAAUCUACAUUGGUGGGAGGCUGGACCCACAGAAAAAAAUCUUGACCUCAAAUCGGGUGAGACUACCCGCUGAACUUAA